GACGAACGCUGGCGGCGUGCUUAACACAUGCAAGUCGAACGGAAAGGCCCUGCUUUUGUGGGGUGCUCGAGUGGCGAACGGGUGAGUAACACGUGAGUAACCUGCCCUUGACUUUGGGAUAACUUCAGGAAACUGGGGCUAAUACCGGAUAGGAGCUCCUGCUGCAUGGUGGGGGUUGGAAAGUUUCGGCGGUUGGGGAUGGACUCGCGGCUUAUCAGCUUGUUGGUGGGGUAGUGGCUUACCAAGGCUUUGACGGGUAGCCGGCCUGAGAGGGUGACCGGCCACAUUGGGACUGAGAUACGGCCCAGACUCCUACGGGAGGCAGCAGUGGGGAAUAUUGCACAAUGGGCGGAAGCCUGAUGCAGCAACGCCGCGUGCGGGAUGACGGCCUUCGGGUUGUAAACCGCUUUCGCCUGUGACGAAGCGUGAGUGACGGUAAUGGGUAAAGAAGCACCGGCUAACUACGUGCCAGCAGCCGCGGUGAUACGUAGGGUGCGAGCGUUGUCCGGAUUUAUUGGGCGUAAAGGGCUCGUAGGUGGUUGAUCGCGUCGGAAGUGUAAUCUUGGGGCUUAACCCUGAGCGUGCUUUCGAUACGGGUUGACUUGAGGAAGGUAGGGGAGAAUGGAAUUCCUGGUGGAGCGGUGGAAUGCGCAGAUAUCAGGAGGAACACCAGUGGCGAAGGCGGUUCUCUGGGCCUUUCCUGACGCUGAGGAGCGAAAGCGUGGGGAGCGAACAGGCUUAGAUACCCUGGUAGUCCACGCUGUAAACGGUGGGUACUAGGUGUGGGGUCCAUUCCACGGGUUCCGUGCCGUAGCUAACGUUUUAAGUACCCCGCCUGGGGAGUACGGCCGCAAGGCUAAAACUCAAAGGAAUUGACGGGGCCCCGCACAAGCGGCGGAGCAUGCGGAUUAAUUCGAUGCAACGCGUAGAACCUUACCUGGGUUUGACAUGGAUCGGGAGUGCUCAGAGAUGGGUGUGCCUCUUUUGGGGUCGGUUCACAGGUGGUGCAUGGCUGUCGUCAGCUCGUGUCGUGAGAUGUUGGGUUAAGUCCCGCAACGAGCGCAACCCUUGUUCACUGUUGCCAGCACGUUAUGGUGGGGACUCAGUGGAGACCGCCGGGGUCAACUCGGAGGAAGGUGGGGAUGACGUCAAGUCAUCAUGCCCCUUAUGUCCAGGGCUUCACGCAUGCUACAAUGGCUGGUACAGAGAGUGGCGAGCCUGUGAGGGUGAGCGAAUCUCGGAAAGCCGGUCUCAGUUCGGAUUGGGGUCCGCAACUCGACCUCAUGAAGUCGGAGUCGCUAGUAAUCGCAGAUCAGCAACGCUGCGGUGAAUACGUUCCC
rnacentral:rRNA from 1 species